rnacentral:rRNA from 1 species
CAGUAGCCGCGGUAAUACGUAGGGUGCGAGCGUUAAUCGGAAUUACUGGGCGUAAAGCGUGCGCAGGCGGUUGUGUAAGACAGGUGUGAAAUCCCCGGGCUUAACCUGGGAACUGCGCUUGUGACUGCACAGCUAGAGUAUGGCAGAGGGGGGUGGAAUUCCACGUGUAGCAGUGAAAUGCGUAGAGAUGUGGAGGAACACCUAUGGCGAAGGCAGCCCCCUGGGCCAAUACUGACGCUCAUGCACGAAAGCGUGGGGAGCAAACAGGAUUAGAUACCCCAGUAGUCCCUGUCUCUUAUAC